rnacentral:lncRNA from 1 species
AGGCCGUUGGGCAAGGCCGGGUGCCGGGUUUUCAGACCAUUGACUCCCCAGCUCUGGAGCUGGGGGCGUGGCCCUAGGGAGGUGUCCGGAGCCAAGGUGGACUUGAAUGUUUUAAGAAUGGGGAGUUGGAAAAGGACCUGUGGCUUGCUGUAAAGAUAACUUAAAACAUACAGCAUCAGGAUUCCCUGCUCAACUUGAGAUGGACGAAGGAAUUCUCAGCAUCCUGCAAAGCGAAGUCUAAUGCAGCCACUGAGAGCAAUUUCAUCAACCAUGUGAUGCCUACCCCGUAACUCUCCAAAAUAGGAGUAACAGCUGGCGAAGUUAUUUUUAUCUCUCAGAACAAGACGUCUAAGAAUGCUCAUCUUCCUGAUAUAAAUUCAAAGUUGUUUCUGAUUUUCUCCUAACUGCGACUUUUUGUUGGUCCUUUCUUCCUUCAUUAGAAAUGAAUAUAUGCCAUAUGUGUACAAUCUACUUUUUAUUGACUGAAUUCUAUUAAGUGGAUGUGAGUCCUUGAGUGUUUUUAUCCCUUACAUAAUGCCUGCCACAGAGGGUGGAUCUCCUGGAACAAAAUCCCUAUCUGCUGGUAAGACUUAUAAUCUCCUAAGAGAAGUAUCCAUAGAUAGCAAUACUGUGCCAAUGGUUUCCAGGAUUGUUCCAGAGGGAAUUAUUUCUUAACAUAAUUUCUAGGCCAUUUGUGUUUGGUAAUGCUAAAGCAGAGGUGAUAAAGCAAACAUAAGAAUCACUUAUAUUUAAUUUUAUAUCACUUUUAUAUCAGAAAUGAGAAUUUAUGACAAUUUUAAGCUAUUAAAUAAAUACACUGUGGGUUUUGGUAAGCAAAAUUUACAUAAGAAAAUGAAGCCUGUUUUUACAAAGCAAAGCAAGAGGGGCCAAAACCUUAGAAGGAAAAGUUAGUAAAGCAUGUCACUAAGUUCAUACACCACAGGACAUUCUAGAGAGAGGGAAAUCUCAAUUCUUUGUGGACAGCUUAUUUGCAGUUACUGUGUGCAUUAUUCUGACUUUGAAAAACUGAUUUGUGUGUUUUGGAGCAGAAUUUGUGUGUUUCGGAGCAAAAUAGGGGAAAAGGCGGGAAAUUGGAGGUGGCAGUAAAUUCAUGAGCAAAGAGAGGAAAGGCUGCAAAAAGUGGACAGAGGCAUCUGCAAAGUAGAGCAGUAUAUGAGCAUGUUGGGCCAACUCAAAAACUCCCAAGUUAUUACUGUGUUGAUCAAAACAGUUCCCAAACCUGGCUCAACAAAGAAGCUAUGCGGGAUAUUCAGAAAAUACUGAUCCCUAGACCACUAUCUUUUAAUGUCAGUAUCUCUUGGAGUUGGAGUGCAGAUUUAAAAAAGAAUUCUCCACCCCUAAUAUAGACAGUACUUCUCCUUUCCCCACUAUGCUGGAAAUGGAACCUACGGCCUUACACAAGGCAAGUGCUGUACCACUGAGCUGCAUCCCUAGCCCUCUACCUCCAUCCUGAAGAUCACACAAUUCUAGACUCUUAAAUCUGUAGUCAGCAGAAAAGGAGCUAGAAUGGAUCAUCUCCUUUAACCUAAAAUUUGUAAUGAAAGGUGACAGGGAUAUAUUUUAACAUUUUUGGUUGUUUCUGGUUAUUUACCUCAUUCUCUUCUUUCUUACAGGAAGUCUAUGGGCACUGUCUCCUACUGGAAUAUCAUGGCAGCUGCACAUGUUGGAGGAAAUCACAUCAUGAGUCAAAAGAAAGAUAGGAAGGGCCAUGGAUUCCCCAAACCCCUUUAAGGGAAUGACCCCAAUGAUCUAAGGACGUCCUGCUAAGACAUAUAUCUUAAAGGUUCACAAUGCCUCCCCAAAGCACCUCUCUAGGUUCCAAGUGUUGAACACAUGGACCUUUGGGGGACAAAUGAUUAGAAUUAUAGCAUCUUGACUUAUAGCUCUGGACAUUUAUUAAGAAAAGAGGGGGAAAAGCUUCAGUCAUUUUCUGAGAUCAAGCAGGAAAAUAUGCACCUUAGACAAGGAAGAACAAAACUGAGCCUGCUUACCUUUCCCCAGGAGCAGAUUGGGGUGGACACAUAGUCUCUCAGUCUGAAUCAGCACACAGGAGGCUACAUUAGAAGAAAUGUCCACAUACCCAUUCCAAAGGGUUGUCCACAGAGGCAGCACUGAAGCCCUCUAAGAAGACCUCUCUCUUAAGAGAAGCAGGGUCAGAAAAUGGCCUGUGUGGGUAAAAGGUGUGGCCAUCUGCAUGUGUUCUAGAAGGGGAAAGAGAGUUUUUGGCAGAUGGGUGCUGCAACCUGCAAGCCAUUAAUUUAGAAAUUGGCAAAAAGCAAUGGGGGAUAGAGAAAUGACAAACAGACACAGAAAAGCUGGGGCUGGGUGGUGCUUCAUCCCCUGAUGAGGGAUGCAUGACCCAGAGUUAGCUCAGCACAUUUAUUAUAUAGGUUUUAACAUCAAGGGGGUUUUCUGUGAGAAAGUUUCUUCAAAGCAAGCAGUCUGAAGGACGAGGUUCUAUUAUAAUUGUCUUUUUGCGCUCAUAAUUCUCUGCCCCUGGCAGCCGGUGUCUGAACUCAGGGUCAAGAGUGAUAGUCCCUUGGCUUGCACAGAACUUCCUUUAAGCAGGAUGUCACCAUAGCAACUGGGCAGUCUUAACUUGCACCUUUGCACAAGAAGUUCCCAGUGCAGGCGUGCCACUGGACAGAGACUGUGAUUCAAAUCACCACUCCUGACAGAUGGGUAUACCUUUAAUGAUAUUGAAAGUUAUAGGGCAUCACUUUCUACACUGAAACAAGUUGAUAAAGCUUACAAACAUUCAAGCAGAGAUAAAUCAACACCAACUCUGGUUAAGGGCCAGGGAAUUUCAACAGAUUUGUAGAUAGAUUAAAACCAUUGGUAGGUGAGAAAGUCAGUCCUCACUUUGUCCACUCUGGUUAUGUUGAGCAAGUUAUAAAGCUGGAGCCCCAAGGCUGAGGAGCAGCCCUCCUCACAGUGGUCUUGCUCUCCUGAGGCUACUGCCAGAGUCUUCAGAUGCCCCCUUUCAUGACAUUUCAGCCUUUGUUUUGUCUACAAAUGGUAGAAUGGCUCCGUGCCAGACCAUUCUAAAGCAGAGUGCUAUGCUUGAGAAAGUAGGGUAGAGUCCAUUCCAAAAGGUUAUUCAUUCAAAAUCAUUAAGCAACACAUUAAUGAAAAUAAAUAUCUUCCAUAAAUGUGAAUAAGAUUGUGCAACUUUUUAAAAAUAUUUUUUGUUAUUAGUUAUACAUGAAUGACAGUGGAAUCCACUUUGACACAUCAUACAUAAAUGGAGUAUAACUUCUCAUUCUUCUGGUUGUACAUGACGUGGAAUCACACCAUUAAUAUCAUCAUAUAUGCACAUAGGGUAUUAAUGUCCAAUUUAUUCUACUAUCCUUCCUAUCCUUAUUCCCCCUCCCCUCCCUUCACUCCCCUCUUCCUGAUCCAAAGUAACUUUAUUCCUCCCUUAUUGUGAAUUAGCAUUUGCAUAUCAGAGAAACAUUCAGCCUUUGGUUUUUUGGAAUUGGCUUAUUUCGCUUAGCAUGAUAUUCCCAGCUCCACCCACUUACCAGUAAAUGUUAUCAUUUCAUUCUUUAAGGCUGAGUAAUUUCCAUUCAUCUGUUGAAGGGCAGCUAGGUUGGUUCCAUAGUUUAGCUAUUGUGAGUUGAGCUGUGUAUAUAUAAACAUUGAUGUGGC